rnacentral:rRNA from 1 species
UACGUAGGGAGCAAGCGUUGUUCGGAUUUACUGGGCGUAAAGGGCGCGUAGGCGGCGCGGUAAGUCACUUGUGAAAUCUCUGAGCUUAACUCAGAACGGCCAAGUGAUACUGCAGUGCUAGAGUGCAGAAGGGGCAAUCGGAAUUCUUGGUGUAGCGGUGAAAUGCGUAGAUAUCGAGAGGAACACCUGCGGCGAAGGCGGGUUGCUGGGCUGACACUGACGCUGAAGCGCGAAAGCUAGGGGAGCGAACGGG